CUGCCUGAGCUCAGCACUGAUGUCCAGGAUUUCCUACCUGGUCCACACGCAGACCCAGUCGAGGAAGAUGACAUGCUCAGAGCGAUGGCAUCUCUGACCCAAGCAGUGAGAUGUUUAUUUACUAGACCUCGGAGGGGAUCCACCGUCAUGAAGCUGCAGCUUAAGCUCUACUUGAUCGACCGUUUCUCGAGCGAUAUUGGCCCACUACUAUCUGAUGCUAUUGACUCCGGUCUACUCAAAGAUCUGGACCUUACCGUUCUUGAUGAGACAGAUUACCAAUGUUAUCCGUAUAUGCGAAGCCUUGCCAAACGCGUGCAUGAGUUUUUCAGUGCCUACCCUAGUGUGCCCCAUUGCCUCACAAGACUCUCUAUAUGCAACAUGUGCUUUGACCAAUUGGACAUGCACCAUAUCCUUUUUGACUGCUGCAAGCAACUGAAGCAUCUAACCAUGUCUAACUGUGAUGCUGGUUGUUGGUCCCUGUGGAAGAUAGAUGCACCCAACUCAAACCUGAGAGUUUUGGAGCUCGACGACAUGUGUUGUUUUGAGAGAAUUGAGAUUGUCUGCCUUCCCAAGCUGGAGAAGCUCCAUUGGGAUACAUGGAUAUCUGAAUAUGCCCCCUUAUCUUUGGGUUUUGCUCCAUCCCUCGUGGAAUUACACCUCUCAAAUGCCUUCAGGAUUAAACAGCAUGAAAUUAAAUUAAGUCAGCUUCUGCACGGAGCGGCAGGCAUAGAUACUCUCACAUUGGAUUUCCUAGGAGAAAAUGUCUGGGUGCAACCUGAAAUAAAAGAACUGUCCUCCACAUUCAGCAACCUAAGGAAGCUAUUCAUACUAGAGGUCUUUUUUGAAUUUGACCUUCUAUGGAUUACAGCAUUUCUUGAGGCGGCUCCUUCUGUUGAAAUAUUGCAUAUUGGGGUACAUGAACAUGUAUGCGAAUUUGGUGUUCAGAGCGCACCUGAGAGUUUUCCUGAAACAACUAAUCCUCAGUGGGAGAUGGAUUUCGGCGGCUCAAUGAACUUGCUACUGAAAGAGCUCCAAAUUGUCGGGUCUAGACCGCUAGAGCAGCAGCUGACUUUUAUAAGAGCGAUACUGGAACGAGCCCCCAAUCUGCGGACGGUGGUUCUGAAGGAUGUCGAGCAUUGUGAGGAUUGUAAUGCCCUUGCCCUCAGUGCGCAGCCCGGUGCGUUGCCAUGGCCUGUGUUUCCCAAGAACAAGGAUGAGCGAGAAACGGUGGUCAGGCGAGUUAUGGAUGGCACGUCCUUCUCAGGACCGAUAAUUUUU
rnacentral:rRNA from 1 species